CCUACGGGUGGCAGCAGUGGGGAAUAUUGCACAAUGGGGGAAACCCUGAUGCAGCGACGCCGCGUGAGUGAGGAAGUAUUUCGGUAUUGAAAGCUCUAUCAGCAGGGAAGAAAAUGACGGUACCUGACUAAGAAUCCCCGGCUAACUACGUGCCAGAAGCCGCGGUACUACGUAGGGGGCAAGCGUUAUCCGGAUUUACUGGGUGUAAAGGGAGCGUAGACGGCUAAUCAAGUUAGAAGUGAAAACCCAGGGCUCAACCUUGGAACUGCUUUUGAAACUGAGUAGCUAGAGUGCAGGAGAGGUAAGCGGAAUGCCGAGUGUAGCGGUGAAAUGCGUAGAUAUUAGGCGGAACACCAGUGGCGAAGGCGGCUUACUAGACUGUAACUGACGUUGAGGCUCGAAAGCGUGGGGAGCAAACAGGAUUAGAUACCCGAGUAGUC
rnacentral:rRNA from 1 species